rnacentral:rRNA from 1 species
CGAACGGGUGAGUAACACGUAAAUAACCUGCCCUUAAGUUUGGGACAACCAUGCUAACGCGUGGCUAAUACCGGAUGUGAUUUGGAUUUCUCCUGAUUUUCAAAUUAAAGGUCCUUCGGGAUCGCUUAAGGAUGGAUUUGCGCACUAUUAGUUUGUUGGUGAGGUAAUGGCUCACCAAGACGAUGAUAGUUAGCCGACCUGAGAGGGUGAUCGGCUACAUUGGGACUGAGACACGGCCCAG